UGUGGGAUGGAGCAGCCCGGUAGCUCGUUAGGCUCAUAACCUAAAGGCCGCAGGUUCAAAUCCUGCUCCCGCAA
rnacentral:tRNA from 1 species